GACGUAGGAGGCGAGCGUUGUCCGGAUUCAUUGGGCGUAAAGAGCGCGCAGGCGGCUUGGUAAGUCGGAUGUGAAAUCCCGAGGCUCAACCUCGGGUCUGCAUCCGAUACUGCCCGGCUAGAGGUAGGUAGGGGAGAUCGGAAUUCCUGGUGUAGCGGUGAAAUGCGCAGAUAUCAAGAGGAACACCUGAGGUGAAGGCGGGUUGCUGGGCCGACACUGACGCUGAGGCGCGAAAGCCAGGGGAGCGAACGGG
rnacentral:rRNA from 1 species